rnacentral:lncRNA from 1 species
GGACUGAUUAGAAGUUUCUUUAAUAUCUCUGAUAGGACGUAGUAGUACUUCAGGCUUUUAUUUUUAUUUUUUUUUUUAUUUUUAAUUCUCAUUUUUUUUAGGCACUGCUUACGAUGGCUACCGAUGAACAAAUUCGUGCUCUCCAGGAGCAGCUGCAACAGCUGUUGGACGCUCAAGCUGCUAAAGAAGCUCAGAAUCAGCCUCCGAUUGCAGAGAUGUUCGUUCCUCGGUAUAUUUACCAGGAACCUCCACGUAUUAAUGCCAAUAAUUUUGAGCUGAAGACUGGUUUGAUCAC